rnacentral:tRNA from 1 species
AGCGGGGUGGGCUAGCCUGGUUUAUGCCGCAGGGCUCAUAACCCUGAGAUCAUUCGUACAAUUCCGUCCGGAUGGCAGAUUCGUUCGUUCAAAUCGAACCCCCGCUA